CAAAAAGCGGCUGAGCAUUGUGAGGAACACGUCGGCAGAGGAAGAUACAAGCCACUGGUCAUCGAGGGCACACUGGCAGAAGAGCACGCCAACAGGCACUAGCAGGUCGACAAGCCGGGCCAUAGACUGGUGGAAUGACGCGAAGUUUUCCAGGGGAAAACCAUCUCCCUUCUGGCUCCCCCAUCUGCUAAGAGUUACUUCUACUCAAUAAGACCUUGUACUCAUUCUCUAAGCCCGUGUGUGCUCCAAUUCUCCUGGUACACCAAGGUGCAAUAUCUGUGUGGGCCCAUGUAGCUUACGGUACUUUCCUCCUUUUAACUACUCUGAUAACUUCAAGAGAUCCUAUGGAAAAUCCACUAACAAAAUAGUAACGUUUGUGAAAAGAUGUUGCCAGUUCAAAAGUGCAGAAGCCAUACACACAGAGAAACUAGCUGUCACACAGAGGGUGAACAAGGAUUGUCAGGAUGUGACUAUGGAAGCCAGGAACUUGAAUGACAUGUGAUUUAUAUGAUGUAUUUAUUUCUCCCCCACUACCAUUCCUUGAGUAUACUGUUUUUUCCACCUUCAAUCUGAAGAAUUAUAGAAAUAAAAAAAGUCAAGAUAAUCAUUAAUGAAAAGGGUCAUUAGAAUGAUACCAAAUUUCAACUUCCAAUGGCACAUGGACACUGUAGAGAUCAAUGUGAUCUGAAAUUUUACUAACAGUUUUUAAUUACUGUCUCUCUUUAAAAUGAUCUGAUUGUAUUUUCCUGAAAACAAUAAUCAUCUAGAAGCAUUGCAAUAUCCAUAUUGUUACCCCCACCUUUUAUCCAUAUUGAUUAAGCUAUCUAUCCUGAGAUUAAAUUUACAAAAUAGAUUUAACAAGUUUUGGUGAUGUAAUAUAGCCUCCCAAUUAUGCAACUGUUACUCCUAAUAUUACCUAAGAAAGAUGUUUGAAUGGAACCACUGAAUUAAAGUCUUGGAAGAAUUUUAUUUAGUCUAGGGCUGAUUGCAUUUUAAUUUUUGUAAACAUUUGCUAGUUGUCAAUACUCACUUUUACUUCUUGAAAGACUUAAUAUACAUUCUGGGACCCUAAAG
rnacentral:lncRNA from 10 species